UUCCGGUUGAUCCUGCCGGAGGUUACUGCUAUCGAGGUUCGACUAAGCCAUGCGAGUCGAAUGUAGCAAUACAUGGCGUACUGCUCAGUAACAUGUGGACAACCUACCCUUAGGCCUGGGAUAACCCCGGGAAACUGGGAAUAAUACCGGAUAUAUCGCGAAUGCUGGAAUGCGUCGCGAUAGAAAGCUCCGGCGCCUAAGGAUGGGUCUGCGGCCUAUCAGGGUAGUAGUGGGUGUAACGUACCUACUAGCCUACGACGGGUACGGGUUGUGAGAGCAAGAGCCCGGAGAUGGAUUCUGAGACACGAAUCCAGGCCCUACGGGGUGCAGCAGGCGCGAAAACUCUACAAUGCAGGCAACUGCGAUAGGGGAACAUCGAGUGGCACCCACCAUGGGUGUCUGUCCAAUCGUCUAAAAAACGAUUGUCAGCAAGGGCCGGGCAAGACCGGUGCCAGCCGCCGCGGUAAUACCGGCGGCUCGAGUGGUGGCCGAUAUUAUUGAGUCUAAAGGGUCCGUAGCCGGCUUUGCAAGUCCCCUGGGAAAUCCAGCGGCUUAACCGUUGGGCUUUCAUGGGAUACUACAUUGCUUGGGACUGGGAGAGGUAGGAGGUACUCAGGGGGUAGGGGUGAAAUCCUGUAAUCCUUUGGGGACCACCGGUGGCGAAGGCGUCCUACCAGAACAGGUCCGACGGUGAGGGACGAAAGCUAGGAGAACGAAUCGGAUUAGAUACCCGAGUAGCCCUAGCAGUAAAUUAUGCAGACUGCGGUGUUGCAUGAACUUCGGGUUCAUGCAGUGCUGUAGCGUAAGUGUUAAGUCUGCCACCUGGGGAGUACGGCCGCAAGGUUGAAACUUAAAGGAAUUGGCGGG
rnacentral:rRNA from 1 species